UCCUUCGGGGGUUGUAGGAAACGGGC
rnacentral:piRNA from 1 species